UUCACUACCAAACAUGCAAUUAAUCUAAAUGUAGUGAACUUUUGCCACAAACAGGAUCCAGCGAUAUUUGACUUGCUACAUGUAAUGCAGGGAAGCCACCAGAAAACCACUGGAAGAGAAAAGAAGAAUUCCUGAGCAGUCCUCCAGGCUCCAUGCCCUGAAUCCAGAUUUGAAACUGAGAGGGAAGGUGUCUUGGCUGAGAUCAAAGAGAGGAGAGGAACUUUUUAAACUUUCGGCAGAUCUUGAGAAACAAACCAAGUUGGCGUCCAGGAUAUCCUUCGUUUAACGGAUGUAAGAGAUCACAAAGAAUAGCAGGUAACAAGACAUUGACAUACAGCGGAUCAUAAAAGAUAAGAGGGAUAUUCAAUUGGAGAGUAAUUCCAUCCAAGAGCCUUAAUCGAACUUAUGUCGUGGUGGAUGGAAUCUAUUUUCAGCGAGGCCAAGAAAGACAGUUGCUCGACAAUCUUACGGGCUUCUCACAAGCAUCCAUGAGAAUUUUGAACAGAUUGCUGAAAAUAUUCUCCCCACUGAUAGAACCCGAAGGAACGUGGACAAGGUACAAGUAGAUCUUGAUGCCAUCGGAAAUGAAAAUAAUCUCCUUGAGCGAGGGCUUCAUGGUAUAGGAAUCUGUAAAGUUCAAUCAAACUCCAUAUGAAUCAACUGUGAGCAAAUUGUUAAUUAAUUGCAUCGAUUGGA